UACGUAGGGUCCAAGCGUUAUCCGGAAUCACUGGGCGUAAAGCGUGCGUAGGUGGCGUGUUAAGUGUGAUGUUAAAUCGUGUGGCUCAACCAUAUCGAUGUGUCGCAUACUGGCAUGCUAGAGGACAGCAGAGGCAAGUGGAAUUUGUAGUGUAGCAGUGAAAUGCGUAGAUAUCUGGAGGAACACCGGUGGCGAAGGCGGCAUCCUGGACCGGUAUUGACGCUGAGGAGCGAAAGCCAGGGGAGCAAACGGG
rnacentral:rRNA from 1 species